rnacentral:rRNA from 1 species
GUCGAGCGGUAGCACAGAGAGCUUGCUCUCGGGUGACGAGCGGCGGACGGGUGAGUAAUGUCUGGGAAACUGCCUGAUGGAGGGGGAUAACUACUGGAAACGGUAGCUAAUACCGCAUAAUGUCGCAAGACCAAAGUGGGGGACCUUCGGGCCUCAUGCCAUCAGAUGUGCCCAGAUGGGAUUAGCUAGUAGGUGGGGUAACGGCUCACCUAGGCGACGAUCCCUAGCUGGUCUGAGAGGAUGACCAGCCACACUGGAACUGAGACACGGUCCAGACUCCUACGGGAGGCAGCAGUGGGGAAUAUUGCACAAUGGGCGCAAGCCUGAUGCAGCCAUGCCGCGUGUGUGAAGAAGGCCUUCGGGUUGUAAAGCACUUUCAGCGGGGAGGAAGGCGAUAAGGUUAAUAACCUUGUCGAUUGACGUUACCCGCAGAAGAAGCACCGGCUAACUCCGUGCCAGCAGCCGCGGUAAUACGGAGGGUGCAAGCGUUAAUCGGAAUUACUGGGCGUAAAGCGCACGCAGGCGGUCUGUCAAGUCGGAUGUGAAAUCCCCGGGCUCAACCUGGGAACUGCAUUCGAAACUGGCAGGCUAGAGUCUUGUAGAGGGGGGUAGAAUUCCAGGUGUAGCGGUGAAAUGCGUAGAGAUCUGGAGGAAUACCGGUGGCGAAGGCGGCCCCCUGGACAAAGACUGACGCUCAGGUGCGAAAGCGUGGGGAGCAAACAGGAUUAGAUACCCUGGUAGUCCACGCCGUAAACGAUGUCGAUUUGGAGGUUGUGCCCUUGAGGCGUGGCUUCCGGAGCUAACGCGUUAAAUCGACCGCCUGGGGAGUACGGCCGCAAGGUUAAAACUCAAAUGAAUUGACGGGGGCCCGCACAAGCGGUGGAGCAUGUGGUUUAAUUCGAUGCAACGCGAAGAACCUUACCUGGUCUUGACAUCCACAGAACUUAGCAGAGAUGCUUUGGUGCCUUCGGGAACUGUGAGACAGGUGCUGCAUGGCUGUCGUCAGCUCGUGUUGUGAAAUGUUGGGUUAAGUCCCGCAACGAGCGCAACCCUUAUCCUUUGUUGCCAGCGGUUCGGCCGGGAACUCAAAGGAGACUGCCAGUGAUAAACUGGAGGAAGGUGGGGAUGACGUCAAGUCAUCAUGGCCCUUACGACCAGGGCUACACACGUGCUACAAUGGCAUAUACAAAGAGAAGCGACCUCGCGAGAGCAAGCGGACCUCAUAAAGUAUGUCGUAGUCCGGAUUGGAGUCUGCAACUCGACUCCAUGAAGUCGGAAUCGCUAGUAAUCGUAGAUCAGAAUGCUACGGUGAAUACGUUCCCGGGCCUUGUACACACCGCCCGUCACACCAUGGGAGUGGGUUGCAAAAGAAGUAGGUAGCUUAACCUUCGGGAG